CUCCCCCUAACUUAACCAAGAUUAUUUUUAGAUCCUUAUAAAAGACACAAAGCAAGACUCGAUUAUCCUUAACAAAAUGCAAAAGAAAGCAAAAGCAAAAAGCAAAAAAUUGAAAACUUAAAAACUGGGUUGCCUCCCAGGAAGCGCUAAGUUUACCGUCUUCAGCCAGACCAUGCUGUUCAGUUUAGUAUGGGUCUGUUAAUGCUAUUUGAUCAAUAUUUUGAUUUAAUGAUAUCCCUUCUA
rnacentral:lncRNA from 1 species